rnacentral:rRNA from 1 species
CGCCGCCGCGGUAAUACCGGCGGCCCGAGUGGCGGUCACUAUUAUUGGGCUUAAAGCGUCCGUAGCCGGGUUGGGAAGUCCUCCGGGAAAUCUGGCCGCUUAACGGUCAGAAUGCCGGAGGAUACUCCCAGCCCAGGGAGCGGGAGAGGCCGAGGGGAUUCCCGGAGUAGGGGGGAAAUCCUAUAAUCCCGGGAGGACCACCUGUGGCGAAGGCGCUCGGCGGGAACGCGUCCGACGGUGAGGGACGAAGGCCAGGGGAGCAAACCGGAUUAGAUACCCGGGUAGUCCUGGCUGUAAACGAUGCGGACUUUGUGUCGGACAAGCUAUGAGCUUGUCCGGUGCCGGAGGGAAACCGUUAAGUCCGCCGCCUGGGGAGUACGGCCGCAAGGCUGAAGCUUAAAGGAAUUGGCGGG